CCCUUUGUGGUGUAGUUGGUAUCACACUGGACUGUAAUAGCAAUAUCUUUCAGAUUAUCCAUUGGUCACCGGUUCGACUCCGGUCGAAGGGA